rnacentral:rRNA from 1 species
UGAGUACGAGAUGUUACGGCAUCGAAGCAGUCUAUGUCAUACUUCCAAGAAAAGCUUGCACUGUCAUAAACAAAUAAUGCCUGUACCAUAACCGACACAGGUGGGUAGGUAGAGUAUACUAAGGGGCGCGAGAUAACUCUCUCUAAGGAACUCGGCAAAAUGACUCCGUAACUUCGGGAGAAGGAGUGCCUUAUUUUAUAAGGUUGCAAUAACAAGAUCCAAGCAACUGUUUACCAAAAACACAGGUCUCCGCUAAGUCGUAAGACGAUGUAUGGGGGCUGACGCCUGCCCAGUGCCAGAAGGUUAAAGAAGUUGGUUAGCAUUAGCGAAGCUGAUAACUGAAGCCCUGGUGAACAGCGGCCGUAACAAUAACGGUCCUAAGGUAGCGAAAUUCCUUGUCGGGUAAGUUCCGACCCGCACGAAAGGCGUAAUGAUUUGGAUACUGUCUCGGAGAGGGGCUCGGUGAAAUAGACUUGUCUGUGAAGAUGCGGACUACCUGCACCAGGACAGAAAGACCCUAUGAAGCUUUACUGUAACUUGAGAUUGAAAUUGGACUUUAUUUGCGCAGUAUAGGUGGGAGACGUUGAAAAUAUUCUUGCGGGAAUAUUGGAGUCAUCAGUGAGAUACCACUCUUAUAAUGUUAGAUUUCUAACUUUGUAUCAUUAUCUGGUCAAAGAACAGUCUCAGGCGGGCAGUUUGACUGGGGCGGUCGCCUCCCAAACGGUAACGGAGGCGCACAAAGGUUUCCUCUGAACGUGUAGAAAUCGUAUCUAGAGUGUAAAGGCAUAAGGAAGCUUGACUGUGAGACCUACAAGUCGAGCAGGGACGAAAGUCGGUCUUAGUGAUCUGACGGUGCUGAGUGGAAAGGCCGUCACUCAACGGAUAAAAGUUACUCUAGGAUAACAGGCUGAUCUCCCCCAAGAGUUCACAUCGACGGGGAGGUUUGGCACCUCGAUGUCGGCUCAUCGCAUCCUGGGGCGGUAGUACGUCCCAAGGGUUGGGCUGUUCGCCCAUGAAAGCGGUACGCGAGCUGGGUUCAGAACGUCGUGAGACAGUUCGGUCCAUAUCCGGUGUAGGCGUUAGAAUAUUGAGAGGAGCCUUCUUUAGUACGAGAGGACCGAGAAGGACAUACCUCUGGUGUACCAGUUAUCGUGCCAACGGUAAACGCUGGGUAGCUAUGUAUGGAGAGGAUAACCGCUGAAAGCAUCUAAGUGGGAAGCCCACCUCAAGAUAAGUAUUCUCUU